GCCUACGGGAGGCAGCAGUGAGGAAUAUCGGUCAAUGGUCGGGAGACUGAACCAGCCAAGCCGCGUGAGGGAUGAAGGUACAGAGUAUCGUAUACCUCUUUUGUCAGGGAACAAAGGCGGGGACGUGUCCCCGGAUGAGUGUACCUGAAGAAAAAGCAUCGGCUAACUCCGUGCCAGCAGCCGCGGUAAUACGGAGGAUGCGAGCGUUAUCCGGAUUUAUUGGGUUUAAAGGGUGCGCAGGCGGUCUGUUAAGUCAGCGGUCAAAGCCCGGGGCUCAACCCCGGCCCGCCGUUGAAACUGGCAGG
rnacentral:rRNA from 1 species